rnacentral:rRNA from 1 species
AUUGAACGCUGGCGGCAGGCCUAACACAUGCAAGUCGAACGAGUGGCGGACGGGUGAGUAACGUCUGGGAAACUGCCUGUUGGAGGGGGAUAAAUCCUGGAAACGGUAGCUAAUACCGCAUACCCUCAGAUGUGCCGGGAUGGGAGUAGCUAGAUGGUGGGGUAACGGCUCACCAAGGCGACGACCCCUAGCUGGUCUGAGAGGAUGACCAUCCACACUGGGACUGAAGCACGAUCCAGACGCCUACGGGAGGCAGAAUUGGGGAAUAUUGCACAAAGGGCGGAAGCCUGAUGCAGCCAUGCCGCGUAAAUGAAGAAGGCCUUCGGGUUGUAAAGUACUUUCAGCGGGGAGGCGUUACCCGCAGAAGAAGCACCGGCUAACGCCGUGCCAGCAGCCGCGGUAAUUC